rnacentral:lncRNA from 1 species
GGUACUCAACUUGCCUUCUAGAAUAAAUUAAUGAUGCGUACCAAGAUACUACUGUAUAUGAAAAAUAAAUUCUCAGCAUUCUUCUAGUGAGCAAAACAAAAUGAAAACAAACCUUCUCUUCAAUGUGGAUCACACAAUGCAACUGAGCAACUCUUCUGCAACUUAGAGCUAAGAGAAUCUUUUGGAUUAUCAGCAAGCAAUGACAAAGAGAAGGACAGACAAGAAGUGCCAAAACAGAAGACAAAUUUGGUG